UUAAAAAGGACUGGCUGUCUCCAGAUGAACAGAGAAGACGAUGAGCCCCUGGGGGCUAUGGAUGUGGGUCGGUGGUAGAGUGCUUCCCCAGCAAGCAUGAUGAGGCCCUGGAUUUUGUCCCCAGCAUUGACGAAGUAAAACGCUGAGUAAGUGGAAAUUUUAUCUUUUGCUGCCAUCUUGAAUGCUUUUCUGUAACUUAACUGCAUGAUCUUCUUC
rnacentral:lncRNA from 1 species